CAAGGGGACAUCCCAGAGUUGCUGUAUAGUGAGCUAAGGUAGUGGAUGUCUGCUGUGUCACAGGGAGGCUAAAGGAUUUUUAAGCUGUUGUCAGAGGAAUAGUUUUCAUGACCUGUCCUCAUUUUCUUCUGUGGACAGGCGUGCAGGGUCUUUCUGCUGCUUUUCUCCCCUCACUUGAUGACUCUUUGUUGGAAAAGCAGAUCUUUUUCUUUUUAAAAAUUUAUUUAUUUAUUAUAUAUAAGUACACUGUAGCUGUCAGACACACCAGAAGAGGGCAUCGGAUCCCAUUACAGAUGGUCGUGAGCCACCAUGUGGUUGCUGGGAAUUGAACUCAGGACCUCUGGAAGAGCAGUCAGUGCUCUUAACCACUGAGCCAUCUCUCCAGCCCGCAGAUCUUCUUCAUAUGCGAUAAAAACAAGAACCAGGGGGUUGGGGAUUUAGCUCAGUGGUAGAGCGCUUGCCUAGCAAGCGCAAGGCCCUGGGUUCGGUCCCCAGCUCCG
rnacentral:lncRNA from 1 species